AGCUCAAUGAUUGUAUGCCUUUUGGCAAUAUACGCUAUACCGAUCUAAAACAUGAGUAUGAUAAUUUUUUUUCUAGUAUGAGAGCU
rnacentral:snoRNA from 1 species